GGGACAUUUGCUGAGCCGGGACAGAGCACGGAGCCGGGCUUUGGUGCAACUGCCAAGAGAAAAUCAGGUGGUGGAGCUUCACUACGAUGCCAUCUGCCAGUACGUGGGCCCUAGUGACACAGAUGAUGACUGAUCCAUGGGACUCCUCCCAUCCCCCAGCUGGAAGCAGAAGUAAUUUACUACACAGUAAACACCAGGAACGCCCAAGAACUGGGAUAGACCCCAUCACCUUCGUCUCCAACCUCCAGGGGC
rnacentral:lncRNA from 1 species